rnacentral:ribozyme from 1 species
AACAAACAAAAAAGUACAGUCAUGGAAAUUCCACAUCAUUUAUUACCCAAAUAUUAUUUGCUAUUGUAAAAGAAAGAAAGAAAAUGAU